GACGAACGCUGGCGGCGUGCUUAACACAUGCAAGUCGAACGGAAAGGCCCUGCUUUUGUGGGGUGCUCGAGUGGCGAACGGGUGAGUAACACGUGAGUAACCUGCCCUUGACUUUGGGAUAACUUCAGGAAACUGGGGCUAAUACCGGAUAGGAGCUCCUGCUGCAUGGUGGGGGUUGGAAAGUUUCGGCGGUUGGGGAUGGACUCGCGGCUUAUCAGCUUGUUGGUGGGGUAGUGGCUUACCAAGGCUUUGACGGGUAGCCGGCCUGAGAGGGUGACCGGCCACAUUGGGACUGAGAUACGGCCCAGACUCCUACGGGAGGCAGCGGUGGGGAUGAUUGCACAAUGGGCGGAAGCCUGAUGCAGCAACGCCGCGUGCGGGAUGACGGCCUUCGGGUUGUAAACCGCUUUCGCCUGUGACGAAGCGUGUGUGACGGUAAUGGGUAAAUAAGCACCGGCUAACUACGUG
rnacentral:rRNA from 1 species